UUCCUUUGGCCCCUUCUGCCGGUGCACCCCCACCCAAGCCCAGCUCCUGGGCACAGGAUGUGUGUGCACUUGGAGCAGAACAGAAAUCAGAGCUGGAGGCCUCUGAGCUGCUGUCUCCCCGCCCACCAGGCCUCUGCACACGCAGCUCCCUCUGCUUCUCCAGCCCUUCAGAAAUGGGCCAGUGACAGAGCUCUGUGCUUCCCACACCGUCGCCUCUUCCGGGGUUCAGAGGAUUCAAGGCCCCACUUCCCAGUCUCCUCGAGACCAUGGAACUCGAUGCCUGUACAUCGCGCCCAGCCUGCGGCGGCUGGAACCAAAUACGGGGCUCUUUGGAGAGGAUCUGCCAGGAAGAACUGAGGUCUUAUGCCACCUCCACCUCUACGUAACCUCAAACAGGCGUCAUCUUGUCUCCUGGCCUCAGUUUCCUCAUCUGUAAAACGGGGACACAUCAGGAUCUGCCCUCAGCAAGUUGCUGAGUGCCUGCCCUGAGCAGCCGGUAGGUGGCGCUGAUGGGCUGGUGGUUGGGUUGGGGGAGGCUCGCAUAGGGUCUCUGGAGGUCCCAGUAGGGCACUGGGGAGACCUCCCCUGAUUCCCUGGAGGCAGAGCAGAGCUCUUGUCUUUGCAGGAGCUGCAGAUUCUGCCUUGGGUAUCUUAGAAGCUUUGUACAGGCAUCUCCAGCUCAGUGGGAACCAAAUGCCAUCCUAUCUCCCCACCUCACUGGUGUCACCAUCUUCCUGGGAGCUGUCUGGAUAACCCUCUCCCUGGCCCUCACCUUUAAUUUGUCCCUGAGUCCCAUCAGGGUCACCCUCCAUCCCACUGCCAUCUUCCUGGGAGCUGUCUGGAUAACCCUCUCCCUGGCCCUCACCUUUAAUUUGUCCCUGAGUCCUAUCAAUCAGGGUCACCCUCCAUCCCACCACCAUCUCCCACCUGAGUGAGAAUGGGAACCUCCUCUCCCACUCCCUCCAAUUCCCCUCCACUACAGCUGGGGGAGGCUUCUAAAAUGCCAAAUAUAGCCCAGUUUCUGCAACUUGCAGGGUCCCCAGCCCUCGGGAGAAAGUCCAAACCCCUGACAAAGCCUGUGAAGCCCCCUGAGGCCCUGUGGGUCUGGGGCUAGCUCUGGGCUGCAGCCCUGUCUCUGGUCAUAGUCCAGCAUCCACCACGGUCCAGGUGCACUGAGCUGCCGGCCCUCUCUCCCCUCCGCUGGCUCCUUCCUCCUGACUGCCCGUCUUUCCCUGGCCUCUCUAUGCUUCCCGCUGGCAUUGACGACAGUGUCCUGGAGAGCUGGGCAGGGAGGGCUGCCUUGGGUUCCUACUGUGUGCUCCACCUAGUGCUGGUCUUGGCCCUUAGCAAGUGCUCAGUACACCCGUGUGGAAUUGGGCGGUGAGGGUAAAGGGAGGAGGAGGGAAGGGCCAAGAGCUCCCUGUGCUCAAUGAAGAGAGGGACUUGAGCAAGUACUCAUUUUUAGUACUUCCCAAGAUGUGUACAAGAGGCCUGGGGCCAGCAGAACUCCUUGCCCCUGCCCAUCCCCCUCCAGUCUAUGGGGUCCACCCCCAGCUGCCCAGCUGUGAGGCCUCCAUGGCUCAGCUCCUCAUCUAUUAAGUGAGGACAGCAGUCGUCCCCCUCACAGCGAGGCCACGUGGGUUACAUAACUUUUUCUUAGGGUGCCUGGCCUGCAAGAAACCCCUAAGAAUGUUCUAUAUUCCUAGGCCCACUGUUAUUCUUAAUAUUACCCAGGAAAGGGUGGUGAAGCGAGUAAAUAAAUGAAUAGGUGAAUGAAUAAAUGAAUGAAUGAAUGGCACCCUAGCCCCACUGUCUUCUGGGUGGCUUCAGGAUCCUUGAGGAGGUUGGCCGUGUAGGUUCCCCUCAGGUAGGACCUAGGUGAGCUGGGGAGUCUUAACUCACCCAGGGCAGGCCUUAAGGUUGGGCACACCCAUGUGUGGGCUCUGCCCUGGCCUUAACCGA
rnacentral:lncRNA from 1 species